rnacentral:rRNA from 1 species
UAAGAAUGAUUUUCUGAGUAGCGGCGAGCGAAAGGGAAAGAGCCCAAACCGAUCUGAGGAUCGGGGUAGUAGGAUCAUCGAGGAAUCUGACAGAGGAUCAUAGAGGAAUCACAUGGGAAGGUGAGCGAGAGAGGGUGAGAGCCCCGUACUCGAAAUGAGAGACUGGAGAGAGAUGACACCUGAGUAGGGCGGGACACGAGAAAUCCUGUCUGAAUCAGCCGGGACCAUCCGGCAAGGCUAAAUACGAGAGAGUGACCGAUAGUGAACCAGUA